UAGGGAAUCUUCGGCAAUGGACGGAAGUCUGACCGAGCAACGCCGCGUGAGUGAAGAAGGUUUUCGGAUCGUAAAGCUCUGUUGUAAGAGAAGAACGAGUGUGAGAGUGGAAAGUUCACACUGUGACGGUAUCUUACCAGAAAGGGACGGCUAACUACGUGCCAGCAGCCGCGGUAAUACGUAGGUCCCGAGCGUUGUCCGGAUUUAUUGGGCGUAAAGCGAGCGCAGGCGGUUGGAUAAGUCUGAAGUUAAAGGCUGUGGCUUAACCAUAGUAGGCUUUGGAAACUGUUUAACUUGAGUGCAAGAGGGGAGAGUGGAAUUCCAUGUGUAGCGGUGAAAUGCGUAGAUAUAUGGAGGAACACCGGUGGCGAAAGCGGCUCUCUGGCUUGUAACUGACGCUGAGGCUCGAAAGCGUGGGGAGCAAACAGGAUUAGAUACCCUGGUAGUCCACGCUGUAAACGAUGAGUGCUAGGUGUUAGACCCUUUCCGGGGUUUAGUGCCGUAGCUAACGCAUUAAGCACUCCGCCUGGGGAGUACGACCGCAAGGUUG
rnacentral:rRNA from 1 species